GGGGGGUGUAUUCAAUUAGGAUUUUGAAGGAUUUUAAUUCUUUUAAUGAAUCUAGGGGUAUUCAAUCAGGAAUUUAAGUGAUUCUCUGAAAUUCAAUGUGUAUUCAAUCAGGAUUUUAAGAUAGUUUAUGAAAAUCCUUAGAAAUCCAGGUGUAUUCAAUUAGAAUUUUAAAGAAGUUUAUAACAUUCCAGGUGUAUUCAAUUAGAAUUUGAUUUUAAAGAAUUUAAGAAAGUUGAGGAAUUAGAGGGAAUUGGAGAGAUUUCAUAGUGUAUUUUGAGCAUCCACAAAUCUCACCUCCCCCCAAGAGAUUUCGAGGGAAUUGAAUCAAAAUUUUACAUGGAAUCUCUACAAAUCAAUUAAACUCCAUAAAAAUCCAUGGAUUUAUAAAUCCAUUAAAAUCUCUCAAAUUCUCAAUUGAAUACACCCUCCUUAGAUGACCUC
rnacentral:lncRNA from 1 species